ensembl:misc_RNA Metazoa_SRP Metazoan signal recognition particle RNA
GCUGGGUGUGGUGGCGCACGCCUGUAAUCCCAGCUACUUGGGAGACUGAGGCAUGAGAAUCACUUGAACCCGGGAGGCAGAGGUUGCAGUGAGCUGAGAUCAUGCCACUGCACUCCAGCCUGGAUGACAGAGUGAUACCCUGUCUCAA